rnacentral:tRNA from 1 species
GUAGCUAAGUUUUGCGAAUUCAGGCCAAGCUAAAGCUUUGAUAUUGCAGGCUUAGUACUGCAUCUGAAAAUCGCAGUGUCGGUGGUUCGAUCCCGCCCCUGGGCACCA